AGCUUUUGUAUAAUUAACCGGAUGGAGGAGAGUGUUUGCAACACGGAAGUCUGGGACACGCAAUAGGGUCACAUAUUUUACCUCCAAAUUGGCAGCAAGGUGGUAAGUCCUGUAUUUUUCCAGCAAAAACGCUUGUAAUAGCCGCUAGUAACAACACAAGUUUGAAUAACAUAUUCAACAUAUUUUUCAUUAUUCCUCAGCUUUUUUUUGUAAAGAUAAAAAAGAUAAUAUAUAUUAUAGUGAGUCCUAUCUUAAAACAAAAUGUACUUAUUUAUAGGCAAAAAGAAAAAGAAAGAAUCGUUAAACUAUGUAAAUGGAAGAAAAAAUUAAUGUUAUUAAAAUCUUUUUACAUUUUAUAUCAAUUUUUAUGUUUAUCUAUUGAAUGACUUUAUAUGUUUAUAUUUUUUUUCGUCUAUGGACUAACUUUGUCUUUCUCUCUUAUCCUAUUUAUAAGAAAAAUUUAAAAUUUUCAAAUUCUUGGAAUAAUUAAUAUAUUUAGUCCAUAGUAUAUUUCAUACACAUUGAUCAUUUAUUAAAUUUAAAAAAUAUUUUUUUCUUAUAAAUUGGACCGAAGGUAAUAUUACAUUAAUUUUUUUCCUUUCAAUUCACUAAUUUUAUAUUUUUAUUUGAAGUUAAGUAUUUUAUUAUUUGUUGACUAAAUUUAAAGUUUAUUAUUUUAUUGUAUGAUUAUUUAUAAUUUAACUUAUUAAUAAUACUUUGAAAUUUUUUUAUAUAACAAACACAUAAGAGUGAUGCAUCUUUUAUUAUGAAUACUUUAACUUUUUAUGAUAUUGAUUUGAUAACAAAUAAAAUCAAUAUCACAAAAAGUAAUAUUAUAUAUAGUAUUUAAAAUUUAAAUUCAUAUAUCAAAUUAAUAAUCCCCAAAAUUAUUUAUAGUGGUUAAUAAUUAUAUUGGUGCGGGCUAUUAUAAUUCUUAAAAAGUAAUUAGAUUAAAACUCCUAUUGUGGCUAUGUUUAUAUUAAAAAUAAAAAUUUAUUGGAAAAAAAUAUACUUCUUUAAGUUUUUCAAACAUGUUUAUAUUUNNNNNNNNNNNNNNNNNNNNNNNNNNNNNNNNNNNNNNNNNNNNNNNNNNNNNNNNNNNNNNNNNNNNNNNNNNNNNNNNNNNNNNNNNNNNNNNNNNNNNNNNNNNNNNNNNNNNNNNNNNNNNNNNNNNNNNNNNNNNNNNNNNNNNNNNNNNNNNNNNNNNNNNNNNNNNNNNNNNNNNNNNNNNNNNNNNNNNNNNNNNNNNNNNNNNNNNNNNNNNNNNNNNNNNNNNNNNNNNNNNNNNNNNNNNNNNNNNNNNNNNNNNNNNNNNNNNNNNNNNNNNNNNNNNNNNNNNNNNNNNNNNNNNNNNNNNNNNNNNNNNNNNNNNNNNNNNNNNNNNNNNNNNNNNNNNNNNNNNNNNNNNNNNNNNNNAUUUUAUAAAAUAAAAUAAAAUAAUAUUUUAAUCAUUUAACUAUUUUUAAUUUUUAAUGGUAUUUAAAUAAAACUAAAAUGUACUCACCAAUAUAAUAUUUUAUUAUUUUAUUUAAUAUAUAAAUUUAAUCAAAUAAAAAUUUAGAUUAAAAUUAUAUAUAAUUGUUGAAGAUUGUAUACGUACUUUUGUAUAUAAUGGUUGAAGAUUGUAUACAUACAAACAACUUUAGUGUUAAUAAAGUAAUUAAACCAAAAUUCUUAAAUUAAAUCAAAUUGAAAAGUUUGAAGGUGAGAAAAAUGUGCAAGAAGGGGAGGUUGAAUUGUGUAUUUGGAUUCUUUUUCACUUAUGAUAAACCAAUUUCAGAAUUUGAACAAGUUUAGAAUCUGAUCUCAGAGUUGUUAGCAGCGAAAUGAAUAAUAAUCUGAUCUCACAGUUAAAGCAAACUAACAAGAGACUUCCUAUACUCUAAAACAAUAGUUUAGGAGAAUAGAUACCAAUUAUACUUGAUGUUAAAUCAAGAUUAUAUAAGUGAUACAACACACACAAAGAUUCUUAAGCACUUAAGAUUUCUAAGAUAAGAAAUCUCAAGAACUUGUGUAGUAAACAAAUAAAAAAUUUAGGCCAAAAUUAUGCUCAAGUUGUUCUUGUUAGAUAGUUUGUUGGUUAGUUGUCUUCCUUCAAAUCUUCAACUCCUUUAAUAGAAGGGUGGGAAAGAGACGUUGGAAGGCAACUUACACAAGAGAUCUUUGUUGAGACGUUGGAAGGAAACUUACACGAGAGAUUUUUGUUGAGACGUCGUUACAAGAGAGACAUUGGAAGUUAAUCCUUUAUCCUUUGUGAAAUAACUUUAUCCACUACGUAUUUCUCAUACUUGGUAUCUACUAAGAUGUUGGGGAAGAAUUAAGAGGCCACAUCAACUUUCUGUAAUUUUAAGGAGUGCCUUAGAGGGGGGUGAAUGAGGCACUUAGAGUAUUUUCCGGAUUUUUGACGGUUUAUGACUUUUUACUUUCUGAAAUGCUUAAGUGAUGUAAAAUGGUAAAGAGCGGAAAGUAAAUGACACAUCGAUGUAUAGUGGUUCCCCUCACAGAUUGAGAGUACUCCACUUCCCUUUCAACACGAAAGAGAAUUUCACUAUAAUGUUAGAUUCCUAGACAAGACACCUUAAAGUAUUUCUAUCUAUUCUAACACACCAAGAACAAUCCUCUUGGAUUUACAAUGUUUAAAGUCCAAUCGAGACUCAUUUUCACACAAAUGGACCACUUGUAUCGACACACCGGAUAACAAGGAUAAUACCUUACAAACCUAUCCUUAACAAUCCUAAGAAUAAGUUGUAAUCAAAGAAUAUAAUUCUGAAUAAUUUGUAUAAGAUGAAAUAGAUGAAAAUUGAAGUAUAUCAAUUAAACAAUUGAUCUUCUCCUUUGUAACACUCAAAUCUCACAGUAAUUAUACAAGUUGAAAUUCUAGUUAUCAGACUUUGGAUGUCACAGUGGUUGUUAUGACAUCCAAUUCUGCACAGACAGGGAUUAUGCAGAACUUAACAGUAAGUGCAGUAAAUAACACAAGUAAUUGUUCACCCAGUUCAGUCCAACAUGACCUACAUCUGGGGGCUACCAAGCCAGGGAGGAAAUCCACUAUUAGUAGUAUCAAUUCAAAGCUAAACUCACCCGUUUACAACUUAUCACUUAAUCCCUACCCAAUGCAAUUUCAAUCUUAACCUAAGAUCAGAGUUCCUACUCACUCCCCCUCAAUCACCUCAGUGAUAUUAAAGACACUUUGAAGUCACACUUCAAAAACAACUCUUGAUUAUGCUUCACAGCUUAAAUCAAGAUACACAGCACUCACGCUUAAAAGCUUUGAGUGACACAACACUUACAACUCAAUGAACACCCUAUGCCAAAGCAAUCAUCUACUUGAUAAUGGCUUGGCUUACAAGAUACGUCUAAUACAAGACUCACAAAAUACAGCAGUGAAGUAUGAUGGACACACUGACUCUUCACGCUUCAAAAUCCCCGAGACUGAAUGAAGGAAUGCCUUCCUUUUUAUAUUGCAGCACCUGGGCUUUUGCACCUGUAUUUUCCUGAAUUUUAGGUCACACAAGUUCCCUCAAAUUCAACAUUUAGGUUGCUAACAAAUAGGCUAUUUGUUAGGUUCAUUGAAUGUAGCUUGGUUGUUGAUUUCCUGGAUUUUCUCUCAGCUGUUGAAUCCCUAAAGAAUAGCCUGAGAAAAAGCUGAAACAGAAAACUGAACAACCUACAAUUUAGCAUAUGCUGUCAGGCACGAAUGUCACGACAUUCAGCUUGACAUCAAGGUCCAUAUGCUGAGUCUGUUUUUCCAGAAAACAGACUGUACAAUUUGCUGACCUGUACAUGAUCAAAAUGACCAUACUACAGUAACAGCUUACAUUAAUAAAUGUCAAAGUGUCCAACUUAACAUUUAUACAUUUGGCCUUAAGUUAGUUCUGUUAUUCUCUUGAAGAACAAACUAAGUUUUAUGCUGAAGUAUAGCAGAACACCACUCUGCCUAAUCUUCAGUAGCUGCUGUCAAUGAUGAAUGUCACAACAUCCAGUUUGACAUUCAGUCAGUAGGCCUUAUGCCAGGUCUGGUUCUUCCUUGAUAACCAGACUGCAAAUGAAUACUAAGUUCUAACAGAACUUCUGUUCCUUAGUAUCUGUUGACAGGUAUGAAUGUCACAGCAUUCAAUAAUCCUGUGUUAGCUAGUCCUGCAGUAACUACAAUGCAGUCACACAUACAUGUCAUGACAUCAGUCAAGACAUUAGUGUUUUACCAUAUAAUGCAGCCAAUUAAACACUUACACAAGUGUUCUUGAAUUGGAAUGAAACUAUGAUGCUGAAAAAUGAAGGUUUAUGUAAAGUUUCACUCUUAAGAAAUUAUGGAUGAACACUUAGAAAGAAUGAGAGAAUGUGUGUAAAUAAUUUAAAUUUUUGCAAGGAGGUAAUUUUGAAAUCUGAAAAAAUGAUGUUUAUAUAAUGUCUAAAACACCUCCUUGGAUGAAUGCAAUAAUCCAAAGGUUGCCAUGUUUCAUGAUGAAGAGACCAUAAGAGUUUUCAUGAAAAGAUGCAAAUAUUUUUCAUUCUGGAUCAGUGGUAAUCCGUUACCUUAAGUAGGGUAACCGGUUACAUGCAUUCAACGUUACAAAAUAAUUUGAAUUUUGCUUAAGGUAAUCGGUUACCUUAAAUUGGAUAACCGAUUACAUGGUUCCAACGUUUAAAAAAGGUUUGAAAAUUACUCAGAGUAAUCGGUUACUAUAAAAGUGAUAACCGGUUACUCUAACACAGUUUUGAAAAAUAACUUUAAGAAACGAAGUGUGGUGGUUUGAUGAUGCAUAAAACUAUUUUUAAUGAUUAUGAUAUGAAUGCAACAUGUUGUGAACACUUGUAUAACUAUCUAAAGUUUAAGUGUUACCUUAAUCCAUGUGAAAGCCGAAUCUUCAUGUGAUUCACCGAGACUUGAUCAUUUGAUGGAAACUUCAUACACGAGCUUUAAACCUUGAUCAAUCUUUUUGUUAAUCCGACUUGAGCUAUGAAGCAAGGUUUGUCGUCAUCAAAAUAUCUGAGCAGUCAUGUCUCCACAAUCUCCCCCAACCUUGAUCAAUCUUUUUGUUAAUCCGACUUGAGCUAUGAAGCAAGGUUUGUCGUCAUCAAAAUAUCUGAGCAGUCAUGUCUCCACAAUCUCCCCCUUUUUGAUGAUGACAACCCAAAACACAUGAAAAUGUGAUCCCGUGGUGUUUCUCUAUCAACUACUCCCUCUUAAACUAUGCUCCCCCUUAAUUGAUGAAUUAAGGAGUCUUUGAAUUCUGCAUAUUUGUUAGAGAGACACAACCAGCAAGGAAAUAUCAUAGAAAUAAUUUCUUUUCUUCUUCCCCUUUGUCAUUAACAAAAAGGGUGAAAAAGAGAUAAAACAAACAAGCAUGCAAAUAGAAUAGGCUAAACAUCAUAUACCACACAGAGAGGAAAAUGUGAUUUUUAGACAAAAAACAACAGGGUAACCGGUUAUCCAUAUGUGAGUAACCGGUUACACAGAGUGAAAUUUAGAAAAUUAGGCAAAAAUGAGCAGGGUAACCGGUUAUCCAAAGUGAAGUAACCGGUUACACAGUGGCAAAAAGCACAUAUAAAAAAAUUUGAAGAAAGAAAAAUUUCACAAAAAGUUAAGAAGGAUUGGGAACUUAUGUACCUUGGCCUUAUGUAGUGAAUAAAUUUGAAAUAGUUAUAUGUCACCUUCAUUCAGAAUGCCAAGUUCACUUCGAAUCUUAUAGAAUGGUUCUUUUGCGAGCGACUUUGUGAAGAUAUCCGCCAGUUGAUUAUGAGUAUCGACAAAGGUAACUUCGACAUCGCCUUUAAGCACAUGAUCACGAAGGAAAUGGUGUCGAAUGUCUAUGUGUUUGGUCCUUGAGUGCAACAAAGGUAACUUCGACAUCGCCUUUAAGCACAUGAUCACGAAGGAAAUGGUGUCGAAUGUCUAUGUGUUUGGUCCUUGAGUGCAUGACCGGAUUCUUUGUGAUAUUAAUCGCACUUGUGUUGUCGCGUCGGAGUGGUAUGCAUCCAAUAUCGAUUCCAUAGUCACUUGAUUGUUGCUUUAGCCAAAGAUUCUGGGCACAGCAACUACCUACUGCUAUGUAUUCUGUUUCAGCCGUACUAAGAGCAACACACGCUUGUUUCUUACAAGACCAUGAGACUAGAGCAUUACCAAGGAUGUGACACGUUCCACUAUUACUUUUUCUAUCUGUUUUACAACAUGCAUAAUCCGCGUCAGAAUAACCAAUUAACUUACAAACACUACCUUUAGGAUACCAUAAUCCAAUGUUGGUUGUUCCCUUGAGGUACUUCAUGAUUCUCUUGACCGCCGUGAGAUGUGACUCCUUGGGAUUUUCUUGGAAACGAGCACAUAGACACACGCUAAACAUUAUGUCAGGACGGCUUGCCGUCAAAUAUAAUAAAGAACCAAUCAUACCUCGAUACUUUGUGAUAUCAAUUGACACACCCGAUUCGUCUUGAUUAACAUAAGUUCCACAACCCAUUGAUGUUGACAUUGCUUUACACCCAUCCAUGUCAAAUCUCUUUAACAGUUCUUUGCAAUACUUUGAUUGGUUGAUAAAAAUUUCGUCUUUUAGUUGCUUGAUUUGCAAUCCAAGGAAGUAGUUCAUCUUCCCCAUCAUAGACAUUUCAAAAUCACCUUGCAUUAUCAACGCAAAUUCUUCACAUAGUUCUUUGUUGGAUGAACCGAAGAUUAUGUCGUCUACGUAGACUUGCACAAGUAAGGUAUUCCCUUUUAUCUUCUUGAUGAAUAAAGUCUUGUCUACUUUGCCUUUUUCAAAACCUUUUUCACAUAGAAAAUUGCUUAGACGAUCAUACCACGCCCUUGGUGCUUGCUUUAAUCCAUAGAGCGCUUUCUUCAAUUUGUAUACAUGUGAAUGAUGCUUGAAGUCUUCAAAGCCCGGGGGUUGUUUGACAUAGACUUCUUCGUUGAUGUAGCCGUUUAAGAAGGCGCUUUUGACGUCCAUUUGAAAAAGUUGAAAAUUCAUUGAACAUGCGUAAGCAAGUAAUAAACGAAUAGCUUCUAACCUUGCAACCAGAGCGAAAGUUUCCUCAAAGUCGAUUCUUUCUUCUUGACUGUACCCUUGAGCGACCAAUCUUGCUUUGUUUUGAACAAUUAUUCCAUUUUCAUAAAGCUUGUUCUUAAACACCCAUCUUGUUCCAAUGAUGUGCUUAUCACUUGGUCUAGGAACAAGUUCCCAAACUUCAUUUAUCUCGAAUUGGUUUAAUUCUUCAUGCAUAGCAGCAAUCCAUUGAUCAUCUUCUAGAGCUUCAUCAAUUUUGGAAGGCUCUAUUUGCGAAACAAAUGCCAUGUUUAAGCAUGCAUCCUUGAGAUUCAAUCUUGUAGCGACACCUUGACUAAUGUCACCAACUACUUUGUCAAUGGGAUGAUCUCUAUGAAUUCUCCAUUCCUUAGGUAGAUCAUUUUCAGUUGACUCUUGUUGAAUCAGUGCUUCUUGAUCCUUGUUUGAAGUAUCUUCUUUAGGAAUUUCUACAAAAUCAUUAUCAUCAUCACAAACAACAAUUUCCUCUUUCGAGGGGUUAGAUUCGUCAAACUUAACAUGCAUGGAUUCUUCUAUAUUUAAAAUUCUUUUAUUAUAAAUUCUGUAUGCCUUACUUGUAAGAGAAUAACCAAGAAAAAUAUCUUCAUCCAAUUUUCGUCUUCAAUUAAGCAUUCAUCUUUUGUGAACCUUAUUUUGAAUCCUUUGUCACAAAGUUGGCUUAUGCUUAAGAGAUUGUGCUUUAGUCCUUCGACAUAUAGCACAUCUUCGAUGGAUAUGAAAUUUGUGCACCUAUUUGCCUAUGCAAGAAUUCUUCCUUUGUUGUUACCUCCUAAGUAACAUAACCCUUGGCCUUAAGCUUUUAGAUCUGAAAAUUUGUGCAAUCACGGCGGUCAUAUGCUUGGAGCACCCACUAUCCAAAUACCAAAGAUUUGUUGUGCCUCAAGCCAUACCUACAAAACAAAGUUAAGUUUUGUUAGGUACCCAAUUGCUUUGGGUCCUUUAUAAUUAGUAUCUUUCUCAACCAAACAAAAUAAUGCCCUUUUGCUACAACUAAAUUUCUAAAUGUUGCAAGCAUUAGGUGUAUGGCCAAAUAAAUACCACAAUAAAAACAGGUUGGUUCAAAAUUGCUUUUAUAUCUAGGAACGAAAGGCUUUUUCUUGAUAAACUUUUUCUUUAGGAUGUUGAUGCAACGCAACUUUUUGGUGUGUUGACUCUUUCUUUUGGAGGUUGAUCCUUAGGCCUUACAAAGAUAGUUUUACUUGUACUUGGUUUAGAAAAUUUGGAGUAACCAAGUCCACUUUUUUCAUUUGAGUAUCUUUGUUGGCUAAUAACCCCUUCCAAACCAAUUUGUACUUUUUCAUAUCUUUCAAGGACUCUUUUAAGUUGGACAAUUUGGAAUGAGAGAGAUUCACACUCUAGACAUACAAGAUUCUUCUUUUCACUAAUCAUCUCUUGUUUCUUAUUUUCAAAGACUUCAAUCUUUUCUUCCAAGGAAGAAUUUUUUUUCUUUUGAGAUGAUAUAGUUUUAUAAAGAAUUUUGCAUUCAUUAAUUGCAUCUUGUGCAUCAUCAUCAAAAAGAGAAAAAUUAUUACUAACCUUUUCUUCAUCAUCAGAAUGAUGUGAAGUCAUUAGCGCCAAGUUUGCACAUUCCUCGCUAUCCGACCCAGAUGAAGAGCUAAUUUCAUUGUCCUCCCAUGCGAGAUAUGCCUUUUUUUUCUUGAAGUCCUUCUUGCUCUUGAAUCCUCCUUUCUUUGAAAGUUUAGGACAUUCCGGCUUUAUGUGGCCUUGUUUUCCACAUUCGUAGCAUGUUACAUCUUGCGUAGAUGUGGUGGCCUCCUUCUUCCUGAAAUGUCUAUUCUUUUUAGCGUUAAAGGAUUUAUCAUUUUUGUUAAAGAACUUACCGAGCCUUUUAACAAGGAGCAUGAAAUUCUCAUCUUCCACCAAUGCGUCAUCAUCUUUAUCUUCUUUUGCGUCUACCUUCAAGGCAAUCCCUUUAGAUUUCUUUUCUUGGGUUUCAUGUUUCUCAAGCCUACCGAGUUCUAACUCAUGUUCUUGAAGUUUGCCAAAGAGAUAUGCGGACGUCAUUGUUGAGAGACUUUUCUUUUCGGAGAUAGCCGUCACCUUCGGUUGCCAUUCUCGAGUCUAUGAUCUUAGUACUUUAAGAUUGAGUUUGUCAUUUGUAAGUGUUCUUCCGAGAGAAAUCCAGUGGUUUGUCAAGUGAACAAAUCUCUUUUGUAGCGUCACGAUGGAUUCUCCGGGAAGCAUUCUAAACAUCUCAUAUUCUUGACUUAAUGUAUUCAACCUUGAUCUCUUUACUUCGGCGGUGCCUUCAUGUGUCUCCACUAAGGUGUCCCAUAUUUCUUUUGCCGACUUGCAUUGAGAUAUGCGGAAGAACUCAUCCAUGCUUAAAGCACUUUGAAGAAUGUUUACUGCUUUCUUUUCAUUUUAGAUUUUUUUCUUAUCAUCUUCAUCGUAAGAACUCUUUAUCUUUGGAGUGCCAACGCCAUUGAUCACACUCGUAGGAUUAUGUGGGCCAUUUUCAACGGCUUCCCAUAUGCCUUCUCCUUGGGCUUCUAGAUGUGCCUUCAUACGAAUAUUCCAAAAAUCAAAACAUUCUCCAGAGAAUAGUGGUGGUUUGUUACUACUUCCACCGUCUUUAAAAACCGGAUUCGUGCUUGCAGAAGCCAUGUGGAUCUUUUAGGAAUAGGUUACCUAUAACCUGCUCUGAUACCAAAUGUAAGUUUAAGGAGUGCCUUAGAGGGGUGGUGAAUGAGGCACUUAGAGUAUUUUCCGGAUUUUUGACGGUUUAUGACUUUUUACUUUCUGAAAUGCUUAAGUGAUGAAAAGCGGUAAAGAGCGGAAAGUAAAUGACACAGUGAUGUAUAGUGGUUCCCCUCACAAAUUGAGAGUACUCCACUCCCUUUUCAACACGAAAGAGAAUUUCACUAUAAUGUUAGAUUCCUAGACAAGACACCUUAAGGUCUUUCUAUAUAUUCUAACACACCAAGAACAAUCCUCUUGGAUUUACAAUGUUUAAAGUCCAAUCGAGACUCAAUUUCUCACAAAUGGACCUCUUGUAUCCACACACCGGAUAACAAGGAUAAUACCUUACAAACAUAUCCUUAACAAUCCUAAGAAUAAGUUGUAAUCAAAGAAUAUAAUUCUGAAUAAUUUGUAUAAGAUGAAAUAGAUAAAAAUUGAAGUAUAUCAAUUAAAUAAUUGAUCUUCUCCUUUGUAACACUCAAAUCUCACAGUAAUUAUACAAUUGUUCUUGAAUUUGAAUGAAACUAUGAUGCUGAAAAAUGAAGGUUUACGCAAAGUUUCACUCUUAAGAAAUUGUGGAUGAACACUUAGAAAGAUUGAGAGAAUGUGUGUAAAUGAUUUAAAUUUUUGCAAGGAGGUAAUUUUGAAAUUUGAAAAAAUGAUGUUUAUAUAAUGUCUAAAACACCUCCUCAGGUGAAUUCAAUAAUCCAAAGGUUGACAUGUUUCAUGAUGAAGAGACCAUAAGAGUUUUCAUGAAAAGAUGCAAGUAUUUUUCAUUCUAGAUCAGUGGUAAUCGGUUACCUUAAAUAGGGUAACCGGUUACAUGCAUUCAACGUUACAAAAUAAUUUGAAUUUUGCUUGAGGUAACCAGUUACCUUAAAUUGGAUAACCGAUAACAUGGUUCCAACGUUUAAAAAAAGUUUGAAAAUUACUCAGAGUAAUCGGUUACUCUAAAAGUGAUAACCGGUUACUCUAACACUGUUUUAAAAAAUAACUUUAAAAAAUGAAGUGUGGUGGUUUGAUGAUGCAUAAAACUAUUUUUAAUGAUUAUGAUAUGAAUGCAACAUGUUGUGAACACUUGUAUAACUAUCUAGAGUUCAAGUGUUACCUUAAAAAAAAAUGAAGUGUGGUGGUUUGAUGAUGCAUAAAACUAUUUUUAAUGAUUAUGAUAUGAAUGCAACAUGUUGUGAACACUUGUAUAACUAUCUAGAGUUCAAGUGUUACCUUAAUCCAUGUGAAAGUCGAAUCUUCAUGUGAUUCAACGAGACUUGAUCAUUUGAUGGGAACUUCAUACACGAGCUUUAAACCUUGAUCAAUCUUUUUGUUAAUCCGACUUAAGCUAUGAAGCAAGGUUUGUCGUCAUCAAAAUAUCUGAGCAGUCAUGUCUCCACACUUUCCUUGGGCCUUGCACUAAGAAACACAAGUUGACUUUUUCAAUAAUCUGGCGUAGAUAAGAUUGGUUUGCUUUGGAGAUAGAGUAUGAUUCAGAAGCUGAGUUGUCAUCAGAAGCAAAGAUACAAGCAUCUGAGUCAUCAGAAGCAAAGAAAUUAAAAUAUAUGAGCAAAGAGAGAGAAAAGAUACUGAUAAAAAUGUGCAGGAAAAUUAAAUUCUGUUAAAAAUGAGUAAAAACAACUUGAUGCAAGUUCCCCAAAAAAUACGAUUUUUAAGAGAUAGAUAAUUGGCUAGAAUGAUGGAAAUUAUUUCUUUGUUUCUCGAGAUGGUUAGACAUAUUUCUUUCAUCUUCUAGGAAUUGAAAACAACAAAAGUAAUGAUUGCAUUAAAGAGUUAGAAAACCUCAAGCAUCAUGCAUUAAAGAUUUAAGUGAUUAAACUUCCCUAAUAAACGUAUGAAAUGCUCAAAAUCUUCUAUAAAAGCAUGAGUUCAUAAUUUGAAAUCCGACAUCUAUAUCCAACUCUUUCUCUUCUUCAAAAAAAAGAGCACUCCUUAUGAAGAUACCAAAGACCAAGUCUCUUUAGAGAUGACCGAGGGUAAGGAAACCAAUACCACCACUAAGAAUUAAGCUUAAAGAAGUGACGAACCCCAACCUUUUGGAUCAACCACCUUUACUGAAGCUUUCAAGCCUAAAAAGACUUCAAAUAAUAAGAACCUCAUGAAGAAGAAGAAGAAGAUUUCUAAUAAAGUCAUCUACAUCAACUCUGAUGAAGAUAAAGAGCUAGAUGUGGACUGGGAAACCUCCUUUGUGGCUCGAGGUUGGAUAAAUGAUUUUGAUAAAAUAUUGUAGAACACCAUAUUGCAUUCUCAUUCCGUUUUAAUGAAAUUUUAAUCACUUUCUCCUUUUUGCAAUGAUACUUUAUGUUAAAGUCUCUUUAUUCCUUUGAAUGAUCCUUCGAUACAAAUGUUUCAAAAACAAUUAAGCCAAUUAAGCCCAUAGUAAAGAAAAAUGAAGGGAAUAUAGUCAAUGUAGUGAGUCCUAUCUUAAAACAAAAUGUACUUAUUUAUAGGCAAAAUAAUACAUUUAAUGUAUAAGUAUUAUUCAUUAAAUUUAAAAAAAUAAAUUUAAAAUAUAUUAUUAUUUUUCCUUUCAAUUGACUAACUUUAUGUUUUUAUUUUAAGUUAAGUAUUUUAUUAUUUGUUGACUAAAUUUAAAGUUUAUUAUUUUAUUAUAUGAUUAUUUGUAAUGUAAUUUAUUAAUAAUAUUUUUUAUAUUAUUUAAUAUAACAAACACAUAAAAGUGAUGCAUCUUUUAUUAUGAAUACUUUAACUUUUUAUGAUAUUGAUUUGAUAUCAAAGAAAAUCAAUAUAACAAAAAUUAAUAUUAUAUAUAGUAUUUAAAAUUUAAAUUCAUAUAUCAAAUUAAUAUUCUCGAAAAUUAUUUAUAGUGGUUAAUAGUUUUAUUGGCGCGGGCUAUUAUAAUUCUUAAAAAGUAAUUAGAUUAAAACUCCUAUGGUGGCUAUGUUUAUAUUAAAAAUAAAAAUUUAUUGAAAAAAAAUAUACUUCUUUAGGUUUUUCAAACAUAUUUAUAUUUUUCGUUUUUGAAACCAAAAAAAUAUAUAUAAUUGUCUCUCUUAAAAUUUAGUUUAAAAUUAAUUUAUAAAAUAAAAUAAUAUAAAUUCUCACAUGCUCAUCUAUUCCUGCAAUUGUUUUAAUUUCAAUUUUGUAUUCAUAAAACAUUAAUAUUUUAAUCAUGUAAUUAUUUUUAAUUUUUAAUGUUACUUAAAUAAAAGUAAAAUGUACUCACCAAUAUAAUUUUUUAUUAUUUUAUUUAUUAUAUAAAUUUAAUAAAAUAAAAAUUUAGAUUAAAGUUAUAUAUAAUUGUUGAAGAUUGUAUACGUAGAAACUACUUUUAUAUAUAAUGGUUGAAGAUUGUAUACAUACAAGGAACUUUAAUGUUACAAAAGUAAUUAAAUCAAAAUUCUUAAAUCAAAUCAAAUCGAAAAGUUUGAAGGUGAGAAAAAUGUGCAAGAAGGGAAUGUUGAAUUAUGUAUUUGGAUUCUUUUUCACUUAUGAUAAAGCAAUUUCAGAAUUUGAACAAAUUUAGAAUCUGAUCUCAGAGUUGUUAGCAGUGAAAUGAAUAAUAAUCAGAAGCAAGAAAUAAAGCAACACACAGAAUUAUCCUAGUUCCUCUCCUAAAUGACAGUAGUCCAGUCCCCUUGCAAAACAAGAGAUUUUCAGUAUAAUCAAACUGAUUACACUUUUCUCAAACAAACUAGCAAAAGACUUCAAUUGUUCAAGGAGACUUCUGCACAAGCACAAAAGCAGGAGACUUCUUUUGCUCAAGCACACGGGAAAGAGAAUUCCACAGCUCAAGCAAACUAACAAGAGACUUCCUAUACUAUAAAAAAAUAGUUUAUGAGAACAGUUACCGAUUAUACUUGAUGUUAAAUAAGGAUUAUAGAAGUGAGAAAACACACAUAAAGAUUCUUAAGCACUUAAGAUUUCUAAGAUAUACAAAAAUAAGAAAUCUCAAGAACUUGUGCAGUAAACAAAGAUAAGAAAUCUCAAGAACUUGUUAGAUAGUUUGUUGGUUAGUUAUCUUCCUUCAAAUCUUCAACUCCUUUAAUAGUAGCGGGUAAAAGAGACGUUGGAAGGCAACUUACAUAAGAGUUCUUUGUUGAAACAUAGUUAAAAGAGAGACGUUGGAAGGAAACUUACAAAAGAGAUUCUUGUUGAGAUGUAGUUACAAGAGAUACAUUGGAAGUUAAUCCUUUAUCCUACGUGAAAUAACUUUAUCCACUACAUCUUUCUCAUACUUGGUAUCUACCAAGAUGUUGGGGGAAGACUUAAGAGGUCACAUCAACUUUCCUUGAGCCUUGCACUAAGAAACUCUAGUUGACUUUUUCAAUAAUCUGGUGUAGACAAGAUUGGUCUGCUUUGGAGAUAGAGUACGGCUUAGAAGUUGAAUUGUCAUCAGAAGUAAAGAUACAAACAUCUGAGUCAUCAGAAGUAAAUAAAUUAAAAUAGAUGAGCAAAGAGAGAGAAAAUAUAUUAAUAAAAAUGUGCGGGAAAAUUAAAUUAUGAUAAAAAUGAGUAAAAACAGUUUGAUGCAAGUUCCCCAAAAAAAUACGAUUUUUAAGGGAUAGAUAAUUGGCUAGAAUGGUGGAAAUUAUUUAUGUAUUUCUCGAGAUGGUUACAAAUAUUCCUUUCAUCUUAUAGGAAUUGGAAACAACAGAAGUAAUGAUUGCAAUAAAGAUCUAGAAAACCUCAAACAUGAUGCAUUAAAGAUUUAAGUGAUUAAACUUCCAUAAAAAGUGUAUGAGAUGCACAAGAUUUUCUAUAAAAGCAUGAGUUCAUAGGUUGAAAUCCCACAUUUACAUCCAACUCUUUCUCUUCUUAAAAAAAUGAGCACUCCUUCUGAAGAUACCAGAGACCAAGUCUCUUUAGAGAUGACCGAGGGUAAGGAAACCAAUACAACCACUAAGCAUUAACCUCAAAUAAGUGAAGAAAUCCAACCUUCUGGGUAGAAACCAAUACAACCACUAAGCAUUAACCUCAAAUAAGUGAAGAAAUCCAACCUUCUGGGUCAACCACCUUUACCGAGGCACUCAAGCCCAAAAAUACUUCAAAGAAGAGGAAGCUCGUGAAGAAGAUUUCCAAUAAAAUCAUCUACUUCAACUCUGAUGAAGAUAAAGAGUCAGAUGUCGAUUAGGAAACCUCCUUUGUGGCUUGAGGUUGGACAUAUGAUUUUGAUAAAAUGUUGUAGAACACCAUAUUGCAUUCUCAUUCCAUUUUAAUGAACUUUUAAUCACUUUCUCUUUUUUGCAAUGAUAUUUUUUGUUAAAUUCUCUUUAUUUCUUUGAAAUGAUCCAUCGAUAGAGAUGUUUCAGAAAUAAUUCAGCCAAUUAAGCACAUAGUAAAGAAAAAUUAAGGAAAAUAGUAAAUGUUUUUAAUUUUACCAGAGGACAUGAUAAAUCCCAUUAAAUAUAGCUCAGAUAUCAAAAUAUAAAUCACAACAGAUAAAUUCAAAUCAAAACAAAUUUAUUUUAAAAGAAAUAAGUUUAGAGAAUGCAAAAAAAAUCAUGUUCUAAAACAUAAGCCUAUGGUUUCUUCAUAAGAUCUAGGAUAUAAUUUAGACCGGAGCCUAUUUCAUCUUACUUAGAAAUCACAAAGCUGAGUUGAGCCUCCACUGAUUCUUGAUGACUGGUAAGAAUGGAAAUCUGAGAGCUCAUAUCUUGAAUCUGAUUGCCCAUCUAAACUUGAGAAUUAGAAAUAGAAGUUAAUCUUGCCUCAAGAUGAAUCUACCUAUGACUAGAUGAAGCAACAACUUCUGAUGAGAAACUUCUCAUACUUUGUAUGACAGAGCCAACAAAGGAUCGAAAAGCAUCCUAUCUUGCAUCAUAGGCGACAUAAUCUGUGAUGGUAUGCCUAUUAAGAACAAGCUUUCUGACCUUAAAGUAAAAUCCAUUUAUGAAAUCUUUUAUUUGAGAAACGAUUUGGAUUGGAGUGUUUUGGAUAGGAUUAGAAAUAUCUUGUCCCUAAAAACCAUUUUGUUUCAACUUCUGCCAUAGUAGCAGUCUCUCUGACUGGAGGUAAAAAGUAAGGUUUAGGCUGAGGUUCAUCAGAUAUGACAUAUUUAAACUCAACAACAUGUUAAUUCUAAGUCAGUUGUUCUAAAGAACUAGAGGGUUGGGAUUAAGAGGAAAGAGGCCCAACAAAGUAAAUUUGCAGGGGUGAAACUAGCAGGGGUCUUUGAUUGGAUUGAUCAGAACAUAAUUCACUAGAUAGAUGCUUUGGGAGAACUUAUACUAUAGUGAGUGGCUUGUAAAUUCUUUGAAAGUGUGUUAGGUCAAACAACUCUAGGAUGGUUGAAGGUUGGGCGGGGGAAAAAGAGUGUCAGUGUGUUAUGAUAGCUCGGUUAUUUGAUGAAAGGAGUGAAGACGUAUGUCCGAAGAUUCAGAGGAUGAGGAGUGUUAGGUUAAUCUUUUGGUGAUUGACUGCUUUUGGGAAAAAUAAGUAUUUGCAAGAUGUUCUGACAUGUUACUUCAACAUUCUGCAUAAUCCAACUUGAGUUAGUUGUGAGAUUUAGUAUAUUUAAUUGGGCUUCCUACAGACUCUCUGAAGAUUUAGGUUUUGUAUUCUAUUAUGUGUUUCCCUGUGAUUGGAGAAUAUCGUAUCUUGAAUUGCACACGAAGGAACAAUGUCAAGACAUAUUAGCAAAUAUUUGAUUUAAUGAGAAUCAUAUCUUCAGAAGAUUGAGAAGAGAUCUUGGAUAUGCUUCAUAUCAAAGACCGAAGCCCAUGCGUAUCACUGCUAUAUAUAGAGGCGUUCUUAACCUAGGAAGGUAUCGAAGUAGUGCAGUAGUGUAUGAUCAUUAGGGCUUCAUGAGCGUGUUUUAUGUGAGCCAUUCGAGUAUCACAUUGAUCAUUCGAAGUUUAUGUAUUUUCAUGCAUAAAAAGAAUUCAAAUGGAUCAUUUUAGCGGUAAAAAGAUCGCCUUAUAGGUAAUGGAGUGAACCAACAAACAAACAUUGAUUAUGGUAAAACCUUCAUCCCUGUAGUCAAAUCGGCUACUAUUUACACAAUACUCAGUGUUGCUUCAUCAAUUGGAUGUUAAAAAUUCCUUCUUGCACGACAAUAUUGAAAAAUUAAUACUUUAUCCUUUUUCAUGUCAGAUUAUUCACCAUUCAAAAUUUUACUCUUCAGUUUAACUUUUUCAAAAUAUGUGAAUAUGCACGCUUACAUAAUUUUAUCGAAUUAUUUUACUUUUUAAAAUUUAUUACUUUAUUUCUCUUCACCAAAUUACAUUCAAUCAAUCACGUAAUUUGAUAUGCAUUGAUGUUUAUCAGAUAAUUUAUUAUCAAGUACUUAGGUACGUAUCUUUGUUUCUCAGAUAACUUGCAUCAAUGUUGUUCGAUAUUAAUGACUAUCACCAAAUAACUUAGUUAAUUCAAUCUCAUCUUUUGAAUUAGAUUUUGGGAUUGAGAUCCAAACAUAUUUAGCAUGGUAUUAGAGUCGGGUUAAAGACUACAACAUAUGUAUUUAACCAAGGCUCACGCUAGACGUGAGGAUGGAUGUUGAAAUUGAUACUUAUAUUGUUGGAGUUUAUUCCUCUAUAGUCAUAUUAAAUAACUCAAUAAUAAGAGGAGUAACUUCUUUGUUGAUACUCGACGAGGGUCUUAAAAGUCAACACUAGUAAAAAUUUAUAUAUGAAACAUCGUCCAGAAUAAUUUUUAUUUCACCUAAUAGGGUAUGAAAUGACCAUGUCUCCGGAUGCCAUCUAUCCAUAAAUGAUGAUAUAAUGCUGGAAUCAACCCUCUUCAACAUGAUUAUUGAGAGUGAAGAAAGACAAAAGUCAUCCAACUAACCAUGAAUCGCAGGUAGGAGAUACAUUAGAAACUAUUCUAGUAGUUAUAUCUAAUGUGUUGGAACCUUUAACUCCUUCUUUUUACCUCACUCCUAAAAACAAUUUUAAGUAUGAAUAAAAUAUCAGUAAUAAUUAAAAUUAAAGAUUAUUUUAUUAAAAAAAUAUAAAAUAUAGGUAAUAAUUAAAAUUAAAGAUUAUUUUAUUUAAAAAAAUAUAUAAAUAUUUAACUCUCCAUGUCAUAAUCAACAAGCAACACGAUACGUCAACACUCAAUGAUCUUAUUGGUGUGUCCUCUUCUAUGCACCAUUGUUUACUAAUUACAUAAAUCUAAACAAAUUUUGGAAAAAUAUUGCAGGCCGGUUGACUCAACAUUAAGACAUGCGGUGAGGAAAAAAGUAGACCAUAUAACUCAAACCAUUGUUUACUAAUUACAUAAAUCUAAACAAAUUUUGGAAAAAUAUUGCAGGCCGGUUGACUCAACAUUAAGACAUGCGGUGAGGAAAAAAGUAGACCAUAUAACUCAACAUCAAAACAUCCAACGAAGAAGCAUAUGGAUCGAAUGACUCAAUAUUAAAAAGUCUGGUAUAGAAAAAUGUGGGUUGGAUUAUUUAACAUCAAGAUAUUAAGUGAAGAAAAAUAUGGACCCUAUGACACAAUCUUAAAACAUUCGAUAGUGAUAAAUGUGACUUAGAUGACUUAAGAAUGUUUGUGAUUAGAUAACUUUUAGAUUUUUGGUAUAAAAAUAUUUCCAAACUAUGUCAACCGAUUAUAUAUAAAAAAUGAACCAGAUUGUUUAAUAAAAAAAAUGAGAGAAACAAAUAUUUUUUAAUUUUUUUUUAACUAUUUAUAUAAAGGAGUCAUGGUCAACUAAAAUAUAACUAAAAUAUAUGGUAAGGUGGACGGACAAUUGUUGAAUUAUAGGGUAAAAUUUUAUAGAAGUUUAAAGAAUCAAUAUAAAAUAACCUUCAUUAUUAGUAAAGUUUAUUUAUGAACAAAAUGAAAUAAAUAUCUUAUAAAGAAUAGUAUUUUAAAACAAAAUGUACUUAUAAAUAAGUAAAAUAGAGAAUCAUCAAAAUAUUUAAAUUGAAAAUUUUAAUAUUUAAUGACUCAAUUGGUCGAGAGUAUCAGUAUCUAACUAUAUUCAAAAAUAUUGGAUUGUCCACAAUUUUUUAUAUUAUAAAUAUAAGAAAGAAAACAGCCUUUUAUUAUUAAAACUUUGACUUUUAAUAUUGAAUAUAUUAAUCAAAUAUCAAAUCUCUCUUAAUAUUUACAUAAUAUAAAAUAAAACAAAAUUCAAUCUUCAUUGUCAUUUAAUCACAAUGUUUUAAAGCGUUAUCUAACAAUUUAACCUUUAUUAUUAUUAUUAUUAUUAUUAUUAUUAUUAUUAUUAUUAUUAUUAUUAUUAUUAUUAUUAUUAUUAUUAUUAUUAUUAUUAUUAUUAUUAUUAAUUCUAACGUUGAAUAUAAAUAAUAUAAAUCAUAUGUUUCCUUUUAUAAAAAAUAAUAUCUAUGUAUAUAGAUAAAAAGAAGCCAAACAAAUUUUAAUAAUAAAGAUCCAUUCGAGUCAUUUUUUCUUAAACAUUAAUAUCAAUAACACUUAUAUGUAAUAAAAUAAAAGAAAGAAACAUAUAUAUUUAUAGUCUUACAAAUAAUGUAGUUAUAUCAUAAAUAUUAAAUCAAUUUUACUUUUUUUAUAAAUAAGACCAUUAAUUUUAAUAAAGGAUAAAAAUAUGUAUUUUUUUCUCUUAUCACCCUAAUAUUUUUCACAUAUUUUAAAAAAUAACUAAUAAAUCUAAUUGAUAUCUUUUCUUUACUAAUCUUUCAAAAAAAAUAAUUUAUAUAUUAAUAAGUGUAAUCAAUUAUUAUUAUUAUUAUUAUUUAUUAAAUUUGAAAUAAAAUAAAUUAUUUUAAAUUCUUAUUGGAAUGAGGUAAGUAUUUUCUUUUUUCCUUGUACCACGUCAUAAUAUCAUAUACGAUUUUUAUAUCAAACUAUAUUUUAAAAAUAAAGUCAAUAAAAAUCAGACUUAAUUGAUUGAAUUAACUUUUAUGUAAUCAAAUCAUAUGAUUAAAAUAUUUUAUAUGCUACGUUAAAGCAUAUUUCUAAAAAUAAAAUAAUAUUUAAUUUAAUUUAAUUUAAAAUGAUUAUUUUAUUUUUAUCAAUUUUAUAAAUAAUAGUCAAUAGAAAAAAUUAAAAAAUUUGAAUAUAGAGAAAAUGAUAAAAAAAAAUAAGAGAAAGAGAAAUCCUUUAAUAACAAUAACCCCUUAACUAAUAAAAAUUUGAAUAUCAAACUCUUCCAUUUUUAUUUAUAAAAACAACAUGAAAUUAACUGUAAAAUGGUAGAGUUAGUUAGAGUAUUAAAUAGAAUUUAGUACGAAAUUACUUAUAGGAACAUGAAAUUAGCUGUAUUAUGGAUUGUAAUUAGGGUAAUUAAGUAAUUAUGGUGGUAAUUAACAAUGUUUUAAAGCGUUAUCUAGUAAUUUAAGCUUUAUUAUUAUUAUUAUUAUUAUUAUUAUUAUUAUUAUUAUUAUUAUUAUUAAUUCUAUAUAUUUAAAAAUAACUUAUUUAUAAUUUGUAAAAAAUAAAAUUUAACAAUAAAUAUAUAUUUGUUUGAUUAAUUAAUUUAAUUAGUACUUGCAGAGACAUUCAAUUUCAAUUAUGACUGUAGGGAUGGAAAUGGAGAUCCAACUGUAGUGGCGGAAAUUAAAUCUUGCAAUUAAAACUAAUUUUGUGAUACAAGACAAACAAUAAUGGAUCAUAAAUUCUUAACCAAUCUUAUUCAUAAAAUUCUUAUAUAUAAGAUUCAGUUUUAUUUAAAGCAUGAUGAUUGGUGUUAAAACAAUAGAAGAUCUAUAAAGCUUUUGUAUAAUUAACCAGAUGGACAGUUUUAUUUAAAGCAUGAUGAUUGGUGUUAAAACAAUAGAAGAUCUAUAAAGCUUUUGUAUAAUUAACCAGAUGGAGGAGAGUGUUUGCAACACGGAAGUCUGGGACACGCAAUAGGGUCACAUACUUUACCUCCAAAUUGGCAGCAAGGUGGUAAGUCCUGUAUUUUCCCAGCAAAAACGCUUGUAAUAGCGACUAGUAACAACACAAGUUUGAAUAGCAUAUUCAACAUAUUUUUCAUCAUUCCUCAGCUUUUUUUGUAAAGAAGAAAAAGAUAAUAUAUAUUAUAGUGAGUCCUAUCUUAAAACAAAAUGUACUUAUUUAUAGGCAAAAAGAAAAAGAGAGAAUCGUUAAAAUAUGUAAAUGGAAAAAAAAUUUAAUGAUAUUAAAAUCUUUUUAUAUUUUAUAUUAAUUUUUAUGUUUAUCCAUUGAAUGACUUUAUAUGUUUAUAUUUUUUUUUCAUCUAUUGACUAACUUUGUCUUUCUCUCUUAUCCUAUUUAUAAGAAAAAGUUAAAAUUUUCAAAUUCGUUGAAUAAUUAAUAUAUUUAGUUCAUAAUAUAUUUCAUAUACAUUGAUCAUUUAUUAAAUUUAAAAAAUAUUUUUUUCUUAUAAAUUGGACCAAACAUAAUAUUAUAUUAAUUUUUUUCCUUUCAAUUGACUAAUUUUAUAUUUUUAUUUGAAGUUAAGUAUUUUAUUAUUUGUUGACUAAAUUUAAAGUUUAUUAUUUUAUUGUAUGAUUAUUUAUAAUUUAAUUUAUUAAUAAUACUUUGAAAUUUUUUUAUAUAACAAACACAUAAAAGUGAUGCAAAGUUAAGUAUUUUAUUAUUUGUUGACUAAAUUUAAAGUUUAUUAUUUUAUUGUAUGAUUAUUUAUAAUUUAAUUUAUUAAUAAUACUUUGAAAUUUUUUUAUAUAACAAACACAUAAAAGUGAUGCAUCUUUUAUUAUGAAUACUUUAACUUUUUAUGAUAUUGAUUUGAUAUCAAAUAAAAUCAAUAUCACAAAAAGUAAUAUUAUAUAUAGUAUUUAAAAUUUAAAUUCAUAUAUCAAAUUAAUAAUCUCCAAAAUUAUUUAUAGUGGUUAAUAAUUAUAUUGGUGCGGGCUAUUAGAAUUCUUAAAAAGUAAUUAGAUUAAAACUCCUAUUGUGGCUAUGUUUAUAUUAAAAAUAAAAAUUUAUUGGAAAAAAUAUACUUCUUUAAGUUUUUCAAACAUGUUUAUAUUUCUAUUUUUUUAACCAAAAAAUAUAUAUAUAUAUAAUUGUCUCUCUUAAUAUUUGGUUAAAAAAAAUUUAAAAUCAUUUUAUAAAAUAAAAUAAAAUAAUAUUUUAAUCAUUUAACUAUUUUUAAUUUUUAAUGGUAUUUAAAUAAAACUAAAAUGUACUCACCAAUAUAAUAUUUUUUUAUUUUAUUUAAUAUAUAAAUUUAAUCAAAUAAAAAUUUAGAUUAAAAUUAUAUAUAAUUGUUGAAGAUUGUAUACGUACUUUUAUAUAUAAUGGUUGAAGAUUGUAUACAUACAAACAACUUUAAUGUUAAAAAAGUAAUUAAAUCAAAAUUCUUAAAUUAAAUCAAAUUGAAAAGUUUGAAGGUGAGAAAAAUGUGCAAGAAGGGGAGGUUGAAUUGUGUAUUUGGAUUCUUUUUCACUUAUGAUAAACCAAUUUCAGAAUUUGAACAAGUUUAGAAUCUGAUCUCAGAGUUGUUAGCAGCGAAAUGAAUAAUAAUCAGAAGCAAGAAAUAAAGCAACACACAAAAUUAUCCUAGUUCCUCUCCUAAACUGAAAGUAGUCCAGUCCCCUUGCUAAACAAGAGAUUUUCAGUAAAAUUAAACUAAUUACAUUUUGCUCAAACAAACUAGCAAGAGACUUCAACUGCUCAAUCAUACUAGAAAGAGACUUAUGCGCAAGCACAAAAGCAAGAGACUUCUUUUGCUCAAACACACAAGAAAGAUAAUUCCACGGCUCAAGCAAACUAACAAGAGAUUUUCUAUACUCUAAAACAAUAGUUUAGGAGAAUAGAUACCAAUUAUACUUGAUGUUAAAUCAAGACUAUAUAAGUGAUACAACACACACAAAGAUUCUUAAGCACUUAAGAUUUCUAAGAUAAGAAAUUUCAAGAACUUGUGUAGUAAACAAAUAAAUUUAGGCCAAAAUUAUGCUCAAGUUGUUCUUGUUAGAUAGUUUAUUGGUUACUUCUCUUCCUUCAAAUCUUCAAUUCCUUUAAUAGAAGGGGGAAAAGAGACGUUGGAAGGUAACUUACACAAGAGAUCUUUGUUGAGACGUUGGAAGGAAACUUACACAAGAGAUUUUUGUUGAGACGUAGUUACAAGAGAGACAUUGGAAGUUAAUCCUUUAUCCUUUGUGAAAUAACUUUAUCCACUACGUAUUUCUCAUACUUGGUAUCUACCAAGAUGUUGGGGAAGACUUAAGAGGCCACAUCAACUUUCCUUGGGCCUUGCACUAAGAAACUUUAGUUGACUUUUUCAAUAAUCUGGCGUAGACAAGAUUGGUUUGCUUUGGAGAUAGAUUACGAUUCAGAAGUCGAGUUGUCAUCAGAAGCAAAGAUACAAACAUCUGAGUCAUCAGAAGCAAAGAAAUUAAAAUAUAUGAGCAAAGAGAGAGAAAAGAUACUGAUAAAAAUGUGCAGGAAAAUUAAAUUCUGAUAAAAAUGAGUAAAAACAACUUGAUGCAAGUUCCCCCAAAAAUACUAUUUUUAAGAGAUAGAUAAUUGGCUAGAAUGAUGGAAAUUAUUUCUUUGUUUCUCGAGAUGGUUAGACAUAUUUCUUUCAUCUUCUAGGAAUUGGAAACAACAUAAGUAAUGAUUGCAAUAAAGAGCUAGAAAACCUCAAGCUUCAUGCAUUAAAGAUUUAGGUGAUUAAACUUCCAUAAUAAACGUAUGAAAUGCUCAAAAUCUUCUAUAAAAGCAUGAGUUCAUAGGUUGAAAUCCCACAUCUACAUCCAACUCUUUCUCUUCUUCAAAAAAAUGAGCACUCCUUCUGAAGAUACCAGAGAACAAGUCUCUUUAGAGAUGACCGAGGGUAAGGAAACAAUUACCACCACUAAGCAUUAAGCUCAAAGAAGUGAAGAAACCCAACCUUCUGGGUCAACCACCUUUACUGAAGCACUCAAGCCCAAAAAGACUUCAAAUAAGAAGAAGCUCGUGAAGAAGAAGAAGAAGAAGAAGAUUUCCAAUAAAAUCAUCUACAUCAACUCUGAUGAAGAUAAAGAGCUAGAUGUGGACUGGGAAACCUCCUUUGUGGCUCGAGGUUGGACAAAUGAUUUUGAUAAAAUGUUGUAGAACACCAUAUUGCAUUCUCAUUCCGUUUUAAUGAAAUUUUAAUCACUUUCUUCUUUUUGCAAAUGAUACUUUUUGUUAAAGUCUCUUUAUUCCUUUGAAUGAUCCAUCGAUACAGAUGUUUUAGAAAUAAUUCAGCCAAUUAAGCCCAUAGUAAAGAAAAA
rnacentral:lncRNA from 1 species